rnacentral:tmRNA from 1 species
GGGGGUGAACGGUUUCGACUUCGGAUGUCGAUUCAUGAGAAGCGGGCUGAGGAUGUCGCGUGAACUCAUUAAUCCACCGCGGCAAAAAGAUAAAUGCCGAUAACAACCGGCUCGCUCUCGCUGCUUGAUUAAGUAGCGAAGCUGUCAGCCUAGGGGCGCCUCCGCUCUAGGACCUGGCAUCGAUAGGAGGCUCAACCGACGGGUCCGGUCACGGGACCCCGAGGGAAACUAAACAGUGACUGAGCCUGCAGCGAGGUGCCUGUGCCAUCGCUGGGGCCGAGAAAACUGCAGCAGGCUGCGCCCGGAGAAGUCGUGAUGACACACCGAAGGACCCGGGUUCGAUUCCCGGCACCUCCACUC